rnacentral:RNase_P_RNA from 1 species
CUAGGAAAUCCAAAGUGACGCUGUUUUGAUUCAUAUCUUAACAGAGGAAAGUCCAGACAGCUGGAAGCAGGGGACCUAAGUUAAAAUUAGGGCGGGUAACCGACGGUACAAGCCACAGAGACAACAACUCAUUAAAAACCCUAAGGGUUUUUAAAAGAGAGUGAAAAGAGGUAAUUCCCCCCGCUGCAACCUCCGACCGAUCCGUUUUAAGGACGCUUCCCCAAGGAUCAAAGAUAGAGGGCAUAGACAAAUGUCACUUUUAAACACAGAAUCUGGCUUACGGGUUUCCUAGGUUU